AGUAAUUACUGGAGUUUGGGGUCUCCAGAAAAGCCGAGAGAGGCGGAGAGCGGAGAUGCAGCUACAGCCGCCGGCGGCCCCACCGCUGCUCCGCAGCCCGAGCUGGGGGCGAGCCCGGGGCAGAGGGACGGCUUCGGCUCCCCGGCCCUGCAGACAGCGGCUGGGAGAGGGCGGCUGGAGGGAGAGGACCGGUCCACCUCACAUAUGGCGGGGGCUUCUGCUCAGCUGAGGCCAGAGCCUGGAUCUGAACGCGUAAUUAAAAGCGAGCAGGGUCACUCGUGGUUUCCUGUGCGUCCCAGCGCCGAUGCCUUCGGGGCGUCUCUCUCUGAAAACCCUGAGCCAGGGGUCCGGCGGCACACGCGAAAGCAGCCCAGCCCGCUCGUCCGCGGGGUCUGGGCGAGGUCACGUUCUCAGGCAGCUUUUUCGGGGGUGGGUGCGUGCGUGUGUGUUAAAGCUGCGUCCACUGAACUUGGAGGAGGGAGCUGAAAAUCUGCUGUGCUGCUGGCUGGCGAGGCAAGCGGGUCCGCGGCACGCCUGCCUCGGCUGUGGGAGAGCGAGUUUGCGUUGGCUUUUCGCCUCCCCGGUCGUGUUCGUCUUUUGUGAGCCGUGCUGAGGGCAUCACUCGCCUGCUUAGGGCUGCUGAGCCUUUAAGGAAAUGUUUUUGUUUAUGCAAUGCUGCCAGAUUUCCUAUGCUUCUUGGCACAGGGUCACAGCUUUCAUGCCUCCUUGUCUGUCUUUAUUAACACCAAUUUCUUUUUAUCACUCUACAGCGCUGUGGAGUUUCUCAGCGGGUUUUACGUUCCAACCAGACUGUGUGUAAAUUCUCAGCAAUGCUACCCGCAAUGCCAGAAACAGGCACUUUUUUUAGCCAGAUGCUGUUUCUGGUUAAGGAAUCAACAUGAGCCAGGUCCGAGGUUUUAAAGAACAGUUGCUUAAUUCUGCCACAUCUGGGACUUCCACGCUGUUCUGGAUAAGUUCUCUUUUCCAGCUAAUAAUCGUUGUCCCUGCCUCCUCUCUAAAGCCAAAAAGUGGGAAGUAAACCUGGGGACGGGGUGCCAGAAGCAGGGAGCCAGGCCAGCGUCCCUGCCCGUAGCCCCUUCCCUCCUCUCCCGGGCAGCGCGCGGAGCCGGGGCAGCGCUGCACCUCCUUUGCACGUAAAGAAGCAACAGGCUCAAACCUGCUGCUUUACAGGGCUGACCCUGCGCUGUGGGACUGUCUGGGGUGAGGACGAGGGGGCCCCGCUGACGGAAAUGCCAGCGUGUUUAGAAAUGCAGCUACACGACUGGUAACGUCUCCUCUUUUUCUGCUUCAGUCAGCAACCAGUGGUUUAAACACCGCAACACUUGGAUGCGCCUCUUCCAGCACCCGGCAUGAGCACACCCACAGCGAAAACAAUGCAGGCCACAUCGGAUCGCCAACACGAGACAUUCAUGCGGGUGGAUGAAACUCUGAAAGAUCCAGUCUUGUCACUACAUAGCGGGUGAGAAAACGGGAGCUGAGGUGCCUGUGUGGGCAGACCUGCAAGGCACAUGUUCCAAGUUGAAAACCUCUUUAACUCAGGACUGCCCAGACUGCCAGCCACCCAGGGCAAAAACGAACCAAGAGCAGCAACAGUGAUAUGCCAGAGGAACAAGGCAGCCCACCAGACAGGUCUUCCACGGGGAAAGAAGACCUGUUUUUCCUCCACAGCACCACAAAAGAAAGUGACAGAACAUACACGUUUGUUUAAAAAACAAUAUAUUUUGUUAAAGAUCAGGAUUUGCAGUUUCAGAGUUUCCUCCCCUGCAAUUCAUAUUCAAGGAUGACCCAAGUGCCCAUUAACAAUCAAACUACUGUGCAGCAACCCGGGAGCCUCAGCAAUUAUGAAGAUAAUAGUGCCCUCCUCCUCUGCCUCCUCUCCUGAGGAAUGGGGGAAGGGCAGGGAGCACAGGGGAAAAAGAAAAUCAGCAGAUAGAAUGAUAAUGUCAUUCCCUUUCACCGACAGCAACAGAAAGCUGCAAUUAGAAUUCCCUGAUCAAAACGCUAGAUAAAAUUCAACAGUAUUUUUAAAAUAGAUCUAAAGCAUGAGAAAUACUUAGUUCUUUACUUAGAAGUCACCUGCUUGUAAAAUGCAGUGCAUGUGCAGGGUACGUGCAGUGUAAAAGCCAUCUCUAGCCUCUGUGGCAGUUGUGAAGUCAGGCCAGUGGUGGGUUUGUACACCCACAUCUGCCUCCGUCGCAGCGGGGUGGGAGCACCUACAGCGACUCGUGGAUUUACCUUGCGCCACCCAGACCCGGGCAGAGCAGCGCUGCCCCCCCGUCACAGGCAGUGCCCCUGCUAGCCAGACACGUGGCACAGCGAGAGCCGAGCUGCGGGGCAGCUCCGAGCUGGAGGUCCGGCUCUGUACGAGAUCCAGGCUCGUCUCGGGGAGCGAACACGUGUGAGCAGUGGGAGAGCAUUAGGUGCGCUCCCAGAACACAUCCUUCUGUUUAGUUUCCUCUGAAAGGAAUCCCACUCGUACGUGUUGGACAGCAACACGCUGCGAACCAAAGCCGGGACCCCUAAGCAGGGACCGUCACGCGACCUGCUUCUAAAGCACUCCCCCGAUCCCAGCUAACGCGCCCGCCCGAGCUGGCUGAGCUCGGGGAGCAGCCUGUGACGGGUGGGGGAAGCGAAGCCCAGUCCUCAGCCAGGAGCAGCUGCUUUUCUCACCACAAGCCACAUACCAAAAUGUCCGUGCUGCCAUGGUGGCAAGGCGUGUACUACACGAAGAGAGGGAGUGGCUUUUUCAGUCAAAGCUCUCAAUUUCCUCCCUCUUCCUUCCAUCAUUUCCUUUUGAUGUUCUCUGCAGCAAGGCGCUAUUCACCUCUAAUACUGCUAGUUUGCUACUGUAUCACUGCUGCUCAGGGCUGAUGUAGCUCCAGGAAUUUGCAGGAAAGCAGCAAGGAAUCAGCCUGUGAAUCAAGGCAACACAGCUGCAAAAGCCUUUGGCUGUCUCUUGCAAAGUGCUGCAGCCAGCUAGGCCCAAGCUUCCUCUGCAAGGGGAAGAUAGAGAACAGAGAGACCAGGCAUCAGAUGCCAAGACGUGCUGACCUAGAGAUCAGACACUUGGAAGAAGUUCCAUCAAAUAUUUUUAGGGGCUCAGAUUUUUUCCUAAAGAACAAGAAAAGAGAGUAGCUGUGUGGAGGGAAGCUGCAGCAAGACAUCACAGCAAUCGUGCAUGCUUACGCACCCGAGCACAACGAGGGGCACUCGCUGCAACCUAUUACGUUAUCUGGUGUAGCCAUGAAUUAGACAGCAUCGUUACUUACUUAGGAAUUGGUACCCGAAUUAUUGUCCCAUCUACUUCCGGGUUUAGGUUCAUUCCACUUUCCCUUAUAGCCUUCAUAGCUGCAGCUGUACUCUGUAAACCAGAUCAAAAGGUAAAGGGAAUCAGGAAAUAAUUAUUCCCAUAUGCCAGAACUCUGUCAAUAGUUGGCAAUCCAUCUCCACAGAACAUGGAAACAUUUAGUUCUGUUACCAGUAAGAUCAGGAAGUUACACUGGUGCAGAGAGCUUUGAUCAAACUGAAUGGGAAACUAUGGCUGCUCUCGGUAUCAGGGUACGGAGGGCAAGAAGGGGGGAGGAGAGGGGAAGGGAAGCAACAACAAAAGAAAACUGUUUUGCUUCUUUGAAACUAUUUGAAUGGUUUGAGGCAAUGCAGAGUGAAACCGCAAUAAAUUCCCAAGGCAUAGCCUGACUGUGGCAAAGGAGAUGAAAGAUUCUGAGCAUUUAAAAAUUCCAGUUGAAUGUUUUCCACUAGAAAUCACAAAGUGCCAAUUUAGAAAUGUUAACUAACUUAACCACUUCAGCACUACAACCUAACCACAUUACAUGAGGGCAGUAGCAGUUGGCUGAGAAAUGGAGCCCACGCUCACCCCUAAGUUUAUUUUACAGCUAAUUACUUGGGAUUAACUUUUUCAGACUCCAUCACUGCUGGCUGUAUUGACACCCUGCUCUGGUUAAAAGGUGAGGUGCACGAGUGUGCUUGGUGCCUGCAAAGUGUUUAAAUACUUCCUUUCCCAACCCAGAGCACUGGUGCACCUUUGGAACAUCAAACUCUGUGGUCAAAGCAGUUUUGCAGAAGACUCCGACGGCCUGUUUCAUUCUUUGACAUUAACAAUGACGGAGCAGAACUGGUCUCUAUUCUCUUGGCACUAGUGUGGCAUUUUCUACAAGGACCACUGCUGUUUCUGAUACUCUUCCCCAUCAUUGACUUUGGAUCCAAGCUACUACAGUAGACUCUAUUUAUGAAGCCCAGCAUUUAUCAACUGAAGCACAAAUUAAAGCUCUGCGUAUUUGUUUAGGUCUCCAGUGCGUGUGGACAUCACUGAAAGCAAUGAACGCUGUACCAAUGUGUUGUAAAACAUAACUGCUGCCCUUUAGAACAUAACAAGGGCAGAAAAAAAUGUAACAAAGAUGAUCUCAGCAAAUUAGCACUAUAACCGUGUUAUUCUAUGGACAGCGCCUGCUCUGCAGGAAGGUAAUGCUCAGUAAAAGCUGAAUUGUUUAGAGUACACGUUGGAGGAGACAGAGGAAGGGGAAAAUAUUGCAAUAUUGCCCCCAUCCUGUUGAAAUAAAUAUUCAUGCUUAAAAGACA